GAUGAACGCUAGCGGGAGGCUUAAUACAUGCAAGUCGAGCGGUAAGGUUUUCGGACCCUAGAGCGGCGAACGGGUGAGUAACGCGUACGAAACCUACCUUUAAGAGAGGGAUAGCCUUGGGAAACUGGGAGUAAUACCUCAUAGUAUUCAAUAACCGCAUGGUUUAUGGAUUAAAGCUGCGGCGCUUAAAGAUGGUCGUGCGUCUGAUUAGCUAGUUGGUAGGGUAACGGCCUACCAAGGCUACGAUCAGUAGGGGGCGUGAGAGCGUGGCCCCCCACACGGGUACUGAGACACGGACCCGACUCCUACGGGAGGCAGCAGUAAGGAAUAUUGGGCAAUGGACGGAAGUCUGACCCAGCCAUCCCGCGUGCAGGACGAAUGCCCUAUGGGUUGUAAACUGCUUUUGUUUGGGAAGAAAUGUAUUCUUUUAAGAGUAUUUGACGGUACCAGACGAAUAAGCACCGGCUAACUCCGUG
rnacentral:rRNA from 1 species